CAGGAAAAUUGCUUUUCUAUUUAAAGCUGGGGUUAAAGUAUUGAUUUUGAAUAUCGCCAGAAAAAUAUGUAACAAACAAAGGGAUUUCUGCUGCUUUACUGGAUUAGUUUUGCACCUACUUAAACAAUUUUGCACCUAUAUAAACUCAUAGUUGUAGUCACAUUUACAAGAUGUGUAAAAAAAAAAAGCAGAUUGGGCCUGGUUUCUAUGACUUGUUGCUCAAAAUGAGAGUAACACAAGAAGAAAAGUGAACAUGAAUAGGGACAAUUAAAAUGGCUUUUUGGUUAACACAUUGCUAAGGAAAAAAAAACUAACUGAAAGACUAUGCAAUGGAAAGCCAUCAAUGACAAUAAUCUAAUUUUUCAGUGAGGAGUGUUGUGCUUUCAGCUCCCAAAACUCAGACAGUCUGAUUUUCCCUUUCAGCUGUACAAGUUCUGUUGUCUAGAGACAGAUAAAUAACUGGACUGGACCAGGCAAGUGAGGGUGAAAAGGGAGAGAAAAAUCAAUGACCUUGACCUUUAUUUUAUCAAGAUUGUAUACUAUGUCCCAUCUUUAUUUAGAGAGAUGAUUCAGAUGUUCCUGUACAUUUUUUUCUAACAAUUUCAUUUCCCCCUUGUAUAUUCUUAGGUAAAAAAACAGAGAAAUCUCACCAACAGCCAAAGAAACGUGGACUGGUACCAGGAAAUAUCUGGAAGCAUGAAAAAAAAAAAAAAUCUGUUUUUCUAGUAAUGUUCUUUCUCUGGGCAGUACGUAUGUGUGCCACUAGAUGUCCUGGCAGCAUCAGCUCUUACACCACCGGAGCUACAACACAGACCACCUCGGAAACCUGGGGAGUUCUGACUCCUGCGAAACAGCUGCAGCACAGGCUGUCCUGCAGAUAACAAGUAUCAGGAGCACUUUGACUGCUAGAGUGAUUGAGAAAUUCCCCUAUAAUUCUGAGAUUUGGUUCACCUGCAGAGCCUUUUUUUAGUCUGAGAAUGUUGCUUUGGGGAGCUCCCUUCAGAACCUUCCAUCAGAAGGAGAGUCAUCCUUAGCCCGAGGAAGAUUUCUAGCAAUCAGGGAUUUGUUUUUAUGCAACAGAAUGGAAAUUUUCUGAAGAUCUUUAUUUUUUUUUCAAUAUUUCUUCACCAUCUAUUAUCUACAGGUUAUUGUAGUACCUGUAAGUUCCCCAAUUACCUAUACCAAAUGAACAAAAAGUAGAAUUUAUAGCAUGUUUACUUUAUUUGGCUAUGCGUUUUUCUAAGAAUUUGUAUGUUAAAAUAUGUAUGUACUUAAAUUUACAUCUCUAUCAAGAUACAAAGUGCUUCUGACUGUCAUUAAUAAGCUGUAACAAUAAUUUUCCUUGUGACAUUGAUUUGUUUCAUUGUGUCCACACAAGAUCACUUUGCUGUAAGGCUGCUGCUCCCAGUACAUGCACUUGUUCUUAGGCUGGAUAUCUUUUUUCUUUACUCCUUAAUUGUAAUUAAACAUGUAUUUAGAACUCAUCACAGAAUGAUUUUUUUUUUAAGUGUAUCAUGAAGAAUUAUUGACAUCGGAUGGAAGAUAUCUGCAGUGUCAGGAAAUCAUGGUGGAGGAGCAGUCUGCAGGUACAGCUCAGCACGGGAUGAACCAGAUUGCCAUUUCAUGGCAAAUUUAGAACAUAUUUUGUGAGCCAGGGUGCAGGUGUGGAGUGGGGAGGUGAGCAAGAUAACACAGACCCAGGGCAGCAG
rnacentral:lncRNA from 1 species